ensembl:lncRNA
UGCUGAUGACAUCAGAGCUACAAUAGUGGACCAUGUAAUCAACCGUGGAAUGACCCUGAGGGUAGCUGGCCAACGGGUCCAGCCUAACUCGAGCCGCUACACUGUAGCAAGUACCAUAAGGACAUCUUGAAAUGAGAAUCGAAUUGCUAGAUGACCAGAUGCUGGGGGCAGAGGAAGCAUGUUCACUGCAGUCCAAGUAACCCAUAUAGUCAUUAUGGCGAUUGCAAAUAAUCCUAUACUUGGAAAUAAACACUUGUGUUUGUUUUGAUGUGUUUCAAGUACACCAGUACUUGAAGUUUGGAUCCCUCUAUGCUUAUGGAUCUAUGACAGAAGUAUGAGCUCAAACUGACAUAGCCUACCUUGUGCACAGAGAAAGCAAAAGCCAGAUGUGUUUUGUAUUCAUACCAUCAGUGUGCAGUUGGCGCAUUGUGUGCUUAGUAGAUGAUGGCUUGUGUGUACUGUUUGAUACGGAAACACCAUUUUUACGAAGGUGUGAAGAGUUAAUCUAGCUGUGUUUGCUUUUGCAAGAGAACUACAAUGUUUUGAUGAUUGGGUGACAGGUUUUCUUAUUUGUGGGAAGAGUUUUGCAAAAUUAGCCAAUAGUUACAAAAAAUGUGCUUAAGCAAUGAGAAAAAACUGUAAAACUAAGUAGCUGCCACCAUUGUUGGAGAACUGGAAUUGGCUGGGCCGCGCUAUGAAUCCUGGGAUAGGUUGGGCCACGAAGGAUGCACUCGACUUAUCCUUCAAAUCUGGGGAAAUGCAGAAUGCAUUUUUCGGCCGCGUUUGGGAGUCUUCAAAUUUGAACAGGCUUCGCCAUGUCGCUGUAAUGUAAUGUAACUGCUUCUUCUUCUUUGGGGUUUAAUGGCAGCUGGCAUCCUUGUACAUGCGGUGCUGCCAUCUUCUGUUUCAGUCCAUUAUUACGCUCUUAAAUCCUGCUACUUAUUCCGCGUCUUUCUUACAAAGCUUCAAACGAUGCGUCGACUAUUAAAUUAGUCGUUGCUGAUUUUGAUAGUCGACGUAAUCAUGACUAGUUGACUAAUCGUGGCAGUCCUACUACACUUAGUACACUUAGUGCCUGGAAGUACUCCCAGGUUGCAAAAAAAUAUUAGCUGCUUAUUACAGUACACACGUUCAUAUUUGUUCUUCUGAGAAGCCUGUAGAAGAAAAAGUGUUUAUGUGUGACAGUUUUAAGGCAAAGGAGGGUGGGAUUGACAAAAUGUAAUAAACAGGUCACUGGGGACUUCCUCCUUCGAGCACUUGCAUGAAACCUUGUAUUUGAUGUUUUUGCGCCCUUGGAAGAAUGAAUACUC